ensembl:lncRNA
CUGGGCCCAAAUGAACUGGGAGCCAAAAUGAGAAAGGAAAAUCAUGCAGAAAAUUUAUGGAGGCAUUUGAAUUUGAAUGGCUGACAAGUUCUGAGGUGUCAGAACUUCUGUUGCGUUUGAAGGAAAAAGUGGGUACUUGGUUUUGGUCUUGAGAAGAGGCCCUGAAGAGGAGGCUGCCCACUCUUGGUGUGUAAACUGUGCUUGAUCUUCACUGGGAGAAACAGGAAUUUCAAGAUUCAAGAUCCAAAUGUGACUCCUGUUUGGGCAGACUGGAGUUCAUCUUUCCAGUGGGCUGGUGAUAAAGAUUCUUUAAAAAACAUCUCUGUGGUUCUCACGCAUAGGAGACAAUACAAGGAUGAUCUGAAAGUCAUGAUGGCAGAUGUACAACAACAGAAGCUUUCUUGGCUUCCUGUUCAGGAAACAAGGAGAAGAAAGUGUCGAGUCGGUUACUCUCACUGUGACCUCCCUCAGUCUUCUCAGAAAGAGGUUCUUCACCGCUCCUCAGGGGGUGAGGCUUUGGACCAGGCUGCCCAGGGAGGUGGUGCAGCCAUCAUCCCUGGGUGUGCUCAAGGAUAGAUGUGGCACUGAGGGACAUGGUCAGCGGGCACGGCCUGCCAGAGGUUUUCACAGCAAUCACGCUCAUUUCCAAGGAAGUCAUUCUUUCUUAGCUUAACAAUAAGGACUGUUUCUCAAGGUUUGUCAACAUACUGUGCAUAAGCACAAUAAACCUGAUCCUAUGAAAAAAAAAAAAGACACCAUCCAUUUUGCUCUUAUUAAAACAGUGGUAUAACUGCUGAUAAACCACCAUAUUAUCAUGUUGGUACGAACACAAUGUGCUGUGUUGUUUUGACACUUCUGGAUGUGUUUCUUCAUUCCCUCUGAGCUUUGUUAUGUCACUGUCAAAAUAGCUGCUGGUAGCAAAUUUUAUGACUUGUAUGGCAAAGGCUGCGGUGCCACGGAGAUGAACAAAGGAUGGAUCAAAUCAGAGACAAUCCAUCUUCCCUCCUCGCGAUUGCACUCGCCCUUCCUUCUCUCCUUGGCAGACUCUGAGGCUCUGCGGCAGAGCAUUGCACUGCUGCAGGAACCACAGCCACAUUAAUGCUGUGCUGGAUGCCUCCAUACGCU